UGUGUUGCUAGAGCCUCUUAGAAAGAGAACCACUGGCUCCUGUGGAGUUAGUGUGUGUGUUUUCCUUUUCUUUCUGCCUGUUUGUGUGUAUGUUGCGUUCAGAACUGUGGAUUUGUUUCUAGGUUUGGCAGAUGAGAUGGCUACAGAAGGAAAGCACUGCGGUGUGAGGUGGUGAAGGCCGAGGGUUGAGCGCUGAUGACCCACUCUUCUCUGAGGGUGGGAAAGCACAGUUCAGAAGGGCAAAGAUUUUCCCUGUGAAAACAUUAUCAGCCAUCUCGCCUGUUCCGUUGACUCGCGGGGAGCAGCAGUGGUCAAAGGUGUGGUUAACGGCUUAGCUCGUCAUCCCAAGCGCUUGGUCACACACUCCUCAAUGUGGCAUUGCCUGAAGGGCACUGAUAACACGCAUUCUGCACUUCUAUUGGUUGAUGUCCAGAAAACCAGCAAUCUCACACGGAAGAAUCUGUACAUUAGAGGAAAGACUGUAGCUGGCAGUAGACAUGGCUUCACAGCACAGAUGAGAUGAGGUGGGAUGUGGAGCUGGAUCUAGCACAGGAUCUAGUGAACCUCACAUUGGGUAUCCUGCACAGUAACAGUCUAUGUGUGGAGUGACAGAGAUUAUCAUUUAAAGCUUUCUGUAAUCAAUUUCUUUUUAUAGAAUUUAGAAUCCU